GACGAAAUAAACAAGCGCUCCAGCAG
rnacentral:rasiRNA from 1 species